AGCACGAAUUAUGCUAUCGAUGAUUGAUAUAUUCAAUCAAGGCAUAGUAAAUGUGCGUAGUUCUCUGUCUGACAAAGAUUUUGAAAAACUCUUUGCAAUGGCAAACGAGCUAAGAAAUCUUAACUCGGGAGCAGGUGGUAAGAAAAGUUAUGAAAUUAUUAACCCCGUAACGACUCAAUCUUAAGCAGAUUGGAUGAUAGAUGAUGACGCAUUUUGCCGAUGGUCUAUCAUAAUAUGCUAGCCCCCGAUCUGAAUCGGGGUGAAGACAUANNNNNNNNNNNNNNNNNNNNNNCUACGGGUGGCAGCAGUCAAGAACAUUCGACAAUGGGCGAAAGCCUGAUCGAGCGACGCCGCGUGCAGGAAGAAGGGCUUCGGCCUGUAAACUGCUUUUGCCGCCGAAAAAUUUUGAUGGUAGGCGGAGAAUAAGGGGUUCCUAACUAUGUGCCAGCAGGAGCGGUAAUACAUAGACCCCGAGCGUUAUCCGGAAUUACUGGGCGUAAAGCGCGAGCAGCCGGCUGUAUUAGUCCGAUGUUAAAUCUCACUGCUUAACGGUGAGGCCGCAUUGGAAACGGUACGGCUAGAGUGGCUGAGAGGCACACGGAACGUGCGGUGUAGGGGUGAAAUCCAUUGAUAUUGCACGGAACACCAAAAGCGAAGGCAGUGUGCUAGCGGUCUGCUGACGGUCAAUCGCGAAAGCGUGGGGAUCAAAAAGGAUUAGAUACCCUUGUAGUCCACGCCUUAAACUAUGCUGACUAGCUAUCGGGAGCAUCGACCCUUCCGGUGGCGAAGCUAACGCGUUAAGUCAGUCGCCUGGGAAGUACGAGCGCAAGCUUAAAACUCAAAGGAAUAGGCGGGAAUUCGCACAAGCAGUGGAUCAUGUGGUUCAAUUCGACACUGAACGAGGAACCUCACCAGGGCUUGAAAUCCAGAUGCAAGCCGUAGAAAUACGGUCGCCUUCGAGGGUUCUGGACAGGUGCUGCACGGCUAUCGUCAGCUCGUCAUGUGAAUGGUAUCCUUAAGUGGAUUAACGAGCGCAACCCCCGCUGUCUGUUAUAUUUGUCAGGCAGGACUGCUUCGGUAACGGAGAGGAAGGUGGGGAUGACGUUAAGUCAGCGUGGCCCUCUGAUGCCCUGGGCUACACACAUGA
rnacentral:rRNA from 1 species